AAGACUAGUUAAAGAUAAAUAAGGGCAUGUACGAUGAUGAGGGUUAGCUAUCAACAUCCCUAAGGAAAGGACAAUCACUCAUUAAGUGAGACACCUGGCCAGGCUUGAGGCAUGCAUGGUUCUCCCAAUACGAUUGGCCUUCUUAUUUUCUGCCUGCAAUGUAGGCGAAAUCAAAUUGAUCUCUAGAUAAUGAUCCACUG
rnacentral:lncRNA from 1 species